GGACCCAGCAACCGGUUCGGAAACGGCCUCAAGGGCGAGGAACGGCAGGUGGCCGGUGGCUCGCUUCGUGCUUGCCGUCGGUUGUUAGCCAUCUCGUCGCACGGCUCGUGGCCGGACCGUGGUGUCGCUAGGCCCGUAUGGGCUCAUUCGCCUCCUCCGUUCGCGGACGCCGGGAUCCCGCGGCAGGGGUUCGCACUUCUGCGGGCGCACGGACUGACUCCGUGGCCCAGCGGUCGCUUUGCGUCCUCGCUGGUCGCGGUCGAAYCCGUCGGAGGUUGGCGGUUGGCUGGGAGUAGAUCGGUCACCCACCCGACCCGUCUUGAAACACGGACCAAGGAGUCUAACAUGUGUGCGAGUCAAUGGGUCUCGAAUAAGCCCAGAGGCGCAAUGAAAUUAAUGGUCGGACUCGACUGCGUUGGGAUCCUCCUCCUUCGCGGGGGAGGCGCACCAACGGCCCGUCCUGUUCGAUUUAUCGAUUUGGCGGAGUC
rnacentral:rRNA from 1 species